CCUUCGAUAACUCAGUUGGUAGAGCGGUGGACUGUAGUUGUUUAAGAAUUUGAAAUCCAUAGGUCGCUGGUUCAAAUCCGGCUCGAAGGA
rnacentral:tRNA from 1 species